rfam:Cavia porcellus supercont2_2 genomic scaffold, whole genome shotgun sequence.
UUAAAGGCUCUUUUCAGAGCCACCUACGUUUCCAAAAGAGCAGCUG